rnacentral:rRNA from 1 species
AUUGAACGCUGGCGGCAGGCUUAACACAUGCAAGUCGAGCGGAGAUGAGGUGCUUGCACCUUAUCUUAGCGGCGGACGGGUGAGUAAUGCUUAGGAAUCUGCCUAUUAGUGGGGGACAACAUUCCGAAAGGAAUGCUAAUACCGCAUACGUCCUACAGGAGAAAGCAGGGGAUCUUCGGACCUUGCGCUAAUAGAUGAGCCUAAGUCGGAUUAGCUAGUUGGUGGGGUAAAGGCCUACCAAGGCGACGAUCUGUAGCGGGUCUGAGAGGAUGAUCCGCCACACUGGGACUGAGACACGGCCCAGACUCCUACGGGAGGCAGCAGUGGGGAAUAUUGGACAAUGGGGGGAACCCUGAUCCAGCCAUGCCGCGUGUGUGGAGAAGGCCUUUUGGUUGUAAAGCACUUUAAGCGAGGAGGAGGCUACCUGGAUUAAUACUCUAGGAUAGUGGACGUUACUCGCAGAAUAAGCACCGGCUAACUCUGUGCCAGCAGCCGCGGUAACAC